GUGUCAGCCGCCGCGGUAAAACGUAGGAGGCAAGCGUUAUCCGGAUUCACUGGGCGUAAAGCGCGUGCAGGCGGCUCGGUAAGUUGGGCGUGAAAUCUCCUGGCUUAACUAGGAGAGGUCGUCCAAUACUACCGGGCUCGAGAACAGUAGAGGAAGAUGGAAUUCCCGGUGUAGUGGUGAAAUGCGUAGAUAUCGGGAGGAACACCAGUGGCGAAGGCGAUCUUCUGGACUGUUUCUGACGCUCAGACGCGAAAGCUAGGGUAGUAAACGGGAUUAGAGACCCCGGUAAUCCUAGCCGUAAACGAUGUGAACUUGGCGUCGGUGGCUUAAACACCAUCGGUGCCGAAGCAAACGCGAUAAGUUCACCGCCUGGGGACUACGAUUGCAAGAUUAAA
rnacentral:rRNA from 1 species